rnacentral:rRNA from 1 species
GACGAACGCUGGCGGCGUGCUUAACACAUGCAAGUCGAACGGAAAGGCCCUGAUUUUGUGGGGUGCUCGAGUGGCGAACGGGUGAGUAACACGUGAGUAACCUGCCCUUGACUUUGGGAUAACUUCAGGAAACUGGGGCUAAUACCGGAUAGGAGCUCCUGCUGCAUGGUGGGGGUUGGAAAGUUUCGGCGGUUGGGGAUGGACUCGCGGCUUAUCAGCUUGUUGGUGGGGUAGUGGCUUACCAAGGCUGUGACGGGUAGCCGGCCUGAGAGGGUGACCGGCCACAAUGGGACUGAGGUACGGCGCAGACUCGUACGGGAGGCAGCAGUGGAGAGUAUUGCACAAUGAGCGGAAGCCUGAUGCAGCGGCGCCGCGUGCGUAAUGACGGCCUUCGGGUUGUAAACCGCUUUCGCCUGUGACGAAGCGUGAGUGACGGUAAUUGGUAAAGAAGCACCGGCUAACUACGUG